rnacentral:misc_RNA from 1 species
GAUGAAGAACGUAGCGAAAUGCGAUACGUAAUGUGAAUUGCAGAAUUCAGUGAAUCAUCGAAUCUUUGAACGCAUAUUGCGCUCUCUGGUAUUCCGGAGAGCAUGCUUGUUUGAGUAUCAGUAAACACCUCAACUUCCAUAUCUUUUUUGAAAUGGGAGUUGGACUUGAGUGAUCCCAACGCUUUUCCUCACCGAAAAGUGGCGGGUUACUUGAAAUGCAGGUGCAGCUGGACUUUUCUCUGAGCUAUAAGCAUAUCUAUUUAGUCUGCCUAAAAAACAGAUUAUUACCUUUGCUGCAGCUAACAUAAAGGAGAUUAGUUCUUGUGCUGUGUGAUGCAGGAUUCACAAAGACAGGCUUCGGCCGACUUUGUAAACUCGAUCUCAAAUCAAGUAAGACUACCCGCUGAACUUAAGCAUAUCAAUAAGCGGAGAA